rnacentral:rRNA from 1 species
GACGAACGCUGGCGGCGUGCCUAAUACAUGCAAGUAGAACGCACAGUUUAUACCGUAGCUUGCUACACCAUAAACUGUGAGUUGCGAACGGGUGAGUAACGCGUAGGUAACCUGCCUGGUAGCGGGGGAUAACUAUUGGAAACGAUAGCUAAUACCGCAUAAUAUUGAUUAUUGCAUGAUAAUUGAUUGAAAGAUGCUAUUGCAUCACUACCAGAUGGACCUGCGUUGUAUUAGCUAGUAGGUGAGGUAACGGCUCACCUAGGCGACGAUACAUAGCCGACCUGAGAGGGUGAUCGGCCACACUGGGACUGAGACACGGCCCAGACUCCUACGGGAGGCAGCAGUAGGGAAUCUUCGGCAAUGGACGAAAGUCUGACCGAGCAACGCCGCGUGAGUGAAGAAGGUUUUCGGAUCGUAAAGCUCUGUUGUAAGAGAAGAACUGGUGUGAGAGUGGAAAGUUCACACUGUGACGGUAUCUUACCAGAAAGGGACGGCUAACUACGUG